GUCCACGCCGUAAACGAUGUCAACUAGCCGUUGGAAUCCUUGAGAUUUUAGUGGCGCAGCUAACGCAUUAAGUUGACCGCCUGGGGAGUACGGCCGCAAGGUUAAAACUCAAAUGAAUUGACGGGGGCCCCGCACAAGCGGUGGAGCAUGUGGUUUAAUUCGAAGCAACGCGAAGAACCUUACCAGGCCUUGACAUGCAGAGAACUUUCCAGAGAUGGAUUGGUGCCUUCGGGAACUCUGACACAGGUGCUGCAUGGCUGUCGU
rnacentral:rRNA from 1 species